rnacentral:rRNA from 1 species
GAUGAACGCUGGCGGCGUGCCUAAUACAUGCAAGUCGAGCGAACGGACGAGAAGCUUGCUUCUCUGAUGUUAGCGGCGGACGGGUGAGUAACACGUGGAUAACCUACCUAUAAGACUGGGAUAACUUCGGGAAACCGGAGCUAAUACCGGAUAAUAUUUUGAACCGCAUGGUUCAAAAGUGAAAGACGGUCUUGCUGUCACUUAUAGAUGGAUCCGCGCUGCAUUAGCUAGUUGGUAAGGUAACGGCUUACCAAGGCAACGAUGCAUAGCCGACCUGAGAGGGUGAUCGGCCACACUGGAACUGAGACACGGUCCAGACUCCUACGGGAGGCAGCAGUAGGGAAUCUUCCGCAAUGGGCGAAAGCCUGACGGAGCAACGCCGCGUGAGUGAUGAAGGUCUUCGGAUCGUAAAACUCUGUUAUUAGGGAAGAACAUAUGUGUAAGUAACUGUGCACAUCUUGACGGUACCUAAUCAGAAAGCCACGGCUAACUACGUGCCAGCAGCCGCGGUAAUACGUAGGUGGCAAGCGUUAUCCGGAAUUAUUGGGCGUAAAGCGCGCGUAGGCGGUUUUUUAAGUCUGAUGUGAAAGCCCACGGCUCAACCCGUGGAGGGUCAUUGGAAACUGGAAAACUUGAGUGCAGAAAGAGGAAAGUGGAAUUCCAUGUGUAGCGGUGAAAUGCGCAGAGAUAUGGAGGAACACCAGUGGCGAAGGCCACUUUCUGGUCUGUAACUGACGCUGAUGUGCGAAAGCGUGGGGAUCAAACAGGAUUAGAUACCCUGGUAGUCCACGCCGUAAACGAUGAGUGCUAAGUGUUAGGGGGUUUCCGCCCCUUAGUGCUGCAGCUAACGCAUUAAGCACUCCGCCUGGGGAGUACGACCGCAAGGUUGAAACUCAAAGGAAUUGACGGGGACCCGCACAAGCGGUGGAGCAUGUGGUUUAAUUCGAAGCAACGCGAAGAACCUUACCAAAUCUUGACAUCCUUUGACAACUCUAGAGAUAGAGCCUUCCCCUUCGGGGGACAAAGUGACAGGUGGUGCAUGGUUGUCGUCAGCUCGUGUCGUGAGAUGUUGGGUUAAGUCCCGCAACGAGCGCAACCCUUAAGCUUAGUUGCCAUCAUUAAGUUGGGCACUCUAAGUUGACUGCCGGUGACAAACCGGAGGAAGGUGGGGAUGACGUCAAAUCAUCAUGCCCCUUAUGAUUUGGGCUACACACGUGCUACAAUGGACAAUACAAAGGGCAGCGAAACCGCGAGGUCAAGCAAAUCCCAUAAAGUUGUUCUCAGUUCGGAUUGUAGUCUGCAACUCGACUACAUGAAGCUGGAAUCGCUAGUAAUCGUAGAUCAGCAUGCUACGGUGAAUACGUUCCCGGGUCU